AGCAGCAGCCGCGGUAAUACGGAGGGCGCGAGCGUUACCCGGAUUUACUGGGCGUAAAGGGCGUGUAGGCGGCCUGGGGCGUCCCAUGUGAAAGGCCACGGCUCAACCGUGGAGGAGCGUGGGAUACGCUCAGGCUAGAGGGUGGGAGAGGGUGGUGGAAUUCCCGGAGUAGCGGUGAAAUGCGCAGAUACCGGGAGGAACGCCGAUGGCGAAGGCAGCCACCUGGUCCACUUCUGACGCUGAGGCGCGAACGCGUGGGGAGCAAACCGGAUUAGAUACCCCUGUAGUCCCUGUCUCUUAUAC
rnacentral:rRNA from 1 species